rnacentral:rRNA from 1 species
UACGUAGGGGGCUAGCGUUGUCCGGAAUCAUUGGGCGUAAAGCGCGUGUAGGCGGUCCGGUAAGUCCGCUGUGAAAGUCGGGGGCUCAACCCUCGAACGCCGGUGGAUACUGUCGGGCUAGAGUGCGGAAGAGGCGAGUGGAAUUCCUGGUGUAGCGGUGAAAUGCGCAGAUAUCAGGAGGAACACCAAUUGCGAAGGCAGCUCGCUGGGACGUAACUGACGCUGAGACGCGAAAGCGUGGGGAGCAAACAGG